CCUACGGGUGGCAGCAGUGGGGAAUAUUGGACAAUGGGCGAAAGCCUGAUCCAGCCAUGCCGCGUGUGUGAAGAAGGCCUUCGGGUUGUAAAGCACUUUCAGUGGGGAAGAAAGCCUUGGGGCUAAUACCCUCGAGGAAGGACAUCACCCACAGAAGAAGCACCGGCUAACUCCGUGCCAGCAGCCGCGGUAAUACGGAGGGUGCGAGCGUUAAUCGGAAUUACUGGGCGUAAAGCGCGUGUAGGCGGUCUGAUAAGCCGGUUGUGAAAGCCCCGGGCUCAACCUGGGAACGGCAUCCGGAACUGUCAGGCUAGAGUGCAGGAGAGGAAGGUAGAAUUCCCGGUGUAGCGGUGAAAUGCGUAGAGAUCGGGAGGAAUACCAGUGGCGAAGGCGGCCUUCUGGACUGACACUGACGCUGAGGUGCGAAAGCGUGGGUAGCAAACAGGAUUAGAUACCCGGGUAGUC
rnacentral:rRNA from 1 species